rnacentral:rRNA from 1 species
GCAGUCGAACGGUAACAGAAAGCAGCUUGCUGCUUUGCUGACGAGUGGCGGACGGGUGAGUAAUGUCUGGGAAACUGCCUGAUGGAGGGGGAUAACUACUGGAAACGGUAGCUAAUACCGCAUAACGUCGCAAGACCAAAGAGGGGGACCUUCGGGCCUCUUGCCAUCGGAUGUGCCCAGAUGGGAUUAGCUUGUUGGUGGGGUAACGGCUCACCAAGGCGACGAUCCCUAGCUGGUCUGAGAGGAUGACCAGCCACACUGGAACUGAGACACGGUCCAGACUCCUACGGGAGGCAGCAGUGGGGAAUAUUGCACAAUGGGCGCAAGCCUGAUGCAGCCAUGCCGCGUGUAUGAAGAAGGCCUUCGGGUUGUAAAGUACUUUCAGCGGGGAGGAAGGGAGUAAAGUUAAUACCUUUGCUCAUUGACGUUACCCGCAGAAGAAGCACCGGCUAACUCCGUGCCAGCAGCCGCGGUAAUACGGAGGGUGCAAGCGUUAAUCGGAAUUACUGGGCGUAAAGCGCACGCAGGCGGUUUGUUAAGUCAGAUGUGAAAUCCCCGGGCUCAACCUGGGAACUGCAUCUGAUACUGGCAAGCUUGAGUCUCGUAGAGGGGGGUAGAAUUCCAGGUGUAGCGGUGAAAUGCGUAGAGAUCUGGAGGAAUACCGGUGGCGAAGGCGGCCCCCUGGACGAAGACUGACGCUCAGGUGCGAAAGCGUGCGGAGCAACAGGAUUAGAUACCCUG